AACGAACGCUGGCGGCAGGCCUAACACAUGCAAGUCGAGCGAGGACUUCGGUUCUAGCGGCUGACGGGGGGGUAACGGGUGGGAAUAUGCGCUUCUCUACGGACUAUCCCUUUGAAACUGGGAGUAAUAACGUAUACGACCAAUGGGGGGAAGAUUUAUCGGAGAAGGAUCAGCCGGCGUUGGAUUAGGGAGUGGGUGGGGUAAUGGACUACCAAGCCGGGGAGCCAUAGCUGGACUGAGAGGAUGAUCAGCCACACUGGGACUGAGACACGGCCCAGACUCCUACGAGAGGCAGCAGUGGGGACUCUAAGACUAGGGGGGCAAUCCUGAACCAGCCAGGCCGCGUGAGUGAUGAAGGGCUUAGGGUUGUAAAGCUCUUACAGCUAGGAAGAGAAUGACGGUACCAGCAGAAGAAGCCCCGGCUAACUCCGUG
rnacentral:rRNA from 1 species